GACGAACGCUGGCGGCGUGCUUAACACAUGCAAGUCGAGCGGUAAGGCCCUUUCGGGGGUACACGAGCGGCGAACGGGUGAGUAACACGUGGGUGACCUGCCCUCAGCUCUGGGAUAAGCCUGGGAAACCGGGUCUAAUACUGGAUAUGACUCCAUGACGCAUGUUGUGGGGUGGAAAGCCUUGUGCGGCUGAGGAUGGGCCCGCGGCCUAUCAGCUUGUUGGUGGGGNGAUGGCCUACCAAGGCGACGACGGGUAGCCGGCCUGAGAGGGCGACCGGCCACACUGGGACUGAGACACGGCCCAGACUCCUACGGGAGGCAGCAGUGGGGAAUCUUGCGCAAUGGGCGAAAGCCUGACGCAGCAACGCCGCGUGCGGGAUGAAGGCCCUCGGGUUGUAAACCGCUUUCAGCAGGAACGAAAAUGACGGUACCUGCAGAAGAAGGUCCGGCCAACUACGUGCCA
rnacentral:rRNA from 1 species